CCUACGGGAGGCAGCAGUGAGGAAUAUUGGUCAAUGGACGGAAGCCUGAACCAGCCAAGUAGCGUGAAGGAUGACGGCCCUAUGGGUUGUAAACUUCUUUUAUACAGGAAUAAAGUGAGGCACGUGUGUUUUUUUGUAUGUACUGUAUGAAUAAGGAUCGGCUAAUUCCGUGCCAGCAGCCGCGGUAAUACGGAGGAUCCGAGCGUUAUCCGGAUUUAUUGGGUUUAAAGGGUGCGUAGAUGGAUUGUUAAGUGAGCUGUGAAAGGUCGGGGCUCAACCGUGAAACUGCAGCUGAUACUGGCAAGCUUGAGAGCAGAUGCGGUAGGCGGAAUUCGUGGUGUAGCGGUGAAAUGCUUAGAUAUCACGAAGAACACCGAUUGCGAAGGCAGCUUACCAAACUGCAACUGACGUUGAAGCUCGAAGGCGUGGGUAUCAAACAGGAUUAGAUACCCUAGUAGUC
rnacentral:rRNA from 1 species